rnacentral:lncRNA from 1 species
GCCUUAAGGCAGAAGUCCUUCAGGUUCCCAUAGGGAUCAGAAAUCAGUUCCUUGAAUUGCACAUCAUAGAAUCUGGGGUGAUGUACAGAAUCUUGGUCUGGGGCUUUUCUCGCUCCAGGUCAGCAAGCAGUUCCUUCCUUUCCUGUGCAGAGAGCUUCGAGUUCAGGGAACUUACUCGGACCUUUAGGGUUAGCAAGUGGUCCAUCUGUAUGGAAGGUGAAGUGGUUUAGAGGACAGGCUCUGAAGUCAGACAGACUUCAGAUUUAGAUUUCAUCCUGGCUCACUUAAUCGCCACAUGCUCGCUGGCUGUUUCUCACCCUCUGAACGAUUUAUACAAUUCUAUCUAAUAGCAUUGUUGUAUAACUUAAAAUUUACAUGAGAGGUGAAACUAACGUACGUAAGCCAGGCGCGGUGGCUCACACCUGUAAUUCCAGCGCUUUGAGAGGCUGAGGCGGGCAGAUCACCUGAGGUCAGGAGUUCGAGAUCAGACUGACCAAUAUGGUGAAACCCUGUCUCUACUAAAAAUACAAAAUUAGCCAGGCAUGGUGGCGCAUGCCUGUAAUCCCAGCUACUCGGGGGGCUGAGGCGGAGGUUGCGGUGAGCCGAGAACGCGCCAUUGCACUCAAACCCGGGCAACAAGAGCGAAACUCCAUCUCAAAAAAAAAAAAAAAAAAAAAAAAAAGAAAGAAAUUAAUGUAUGUAAAGCACUUAGCACAAAGCCCGGGACCUGGUGAACAUUCACCAAGUUAUUACUGUAGUUCCCUGUCUCUCUACCUUCCUUCAUGGCGGAUGGCUCUUACCCACACAGCCACACUUCCUCAAUUCUGAUUCUAUCAGCCCAUCUGCAGGCCUUAAAUAGUCAGAACACCUGUAGAGCAGAUGUUAAUAAGGUCCCAGCCAGUUUCUCAUCUUUUUUUCUGUUUCACAUACUGUGCCCUUACCAAAAUAAGCAGGACACCAGGGAUUCCCCGUAUCAACUUAGCUAUCUAUCCAUCUGCAACUUCUGUCCCAACAUCACGAGUGCACGUGUGUGUAUACAUGAGACUGAGUGUAUAUGUGUGUACAAAUACAGUUUCAUACUCCUCCGAACAAAAAAAUAACAAAGGAGGGUGAGGGACCUCAGAGGCGUCAUUCAUAACCUCCCUGAGUGAUAUGCACCAGUGGAGAACACGACAUUGGGGAAAUACAGAAACCCAAUAUAGCGAAUGAGAUAGGCAAAUCAUAGAAAACAAGAGGCGGGGCGGGUGUGGUGGCUCACGCCUGUAAUCCCAGCACUUUGGGAGGCCGAGGCGGGCGGAUCACUUGAGGUCAGGAGUUUGAGACCAGCCUGGCCAACAUGGUGAAACCUCAUCUCUACUAAAAAUACAAAAAUUAGCCAGGUAUGGUGGCGUAC